rnacentral:rRNA from 1 species
GUGGGGAAUUUUGGACAAUGGGCGCAAGCCUGAUCCAGCAAUGCCGCGUGUGUGAAGAAGGCCUUCGGGUUGUAAAGCACUUUUGGCAGGAAAGAAAUAGCGCGUGCUAAUACCAUGCGCGAAUGACGGUACCUGCAGAAUAAGCACCGGCUAACUACGUGCCAGCAGCCGCGGUAAGACGUAGGGUGCAAGCGUUAAUCGGAAUUACUGGGCGUAAAGCGUGCGCAGGCGGUUUUGUAAGACAGGUGUGAAAUCCCCGGGCUGAACCUGGGAACUGCACUUGGGACUGCAAGGCUAGAGUGUGUCAGAGGGAGGUGGAAUUCCGCGUGUAGCAGUGAAAUGCGUAGAGAUGCGGAGGAACACCGAUGGCGAAGGCAGCCUCCUGGGAUAACACUGACGCUCAGGUACGAAAGCGUGGGGAGCAAACAGGAUUAGAAACCCUUGUAGUCC